GAUGAAGAACGUAGUGAAAUGCGAUAAGUAAUGUGAAUUGCAGAAUUCAGUGAAUCAUCGAAUCUUUGAACGCACAUUGCGCCCGCUGGUAUUCCGGCGGGCAUGCCUGUUCGAGCGUCAUUUCAACCCUCAAGCUCUCCGGAGUUUGGUGUUGGGGCGCCUGGGGCUUUUCGACCUCAGGGCCCUCAAGUCCAUCGGCGGGACCGCCAGGACACUGAGCGCAGUAGUAUUAUUUCGCUCGGUAGGAUCUUCCACGGCGGGUCGAUCUGGCCGCUAAACCCCCCAAUUCUCACCAAAGGUUGACCUCGGAUCAGGUAGGAAUACCCGCUGAACUUAAGCAUAUCAUAAGCGGAGGA
rnacentral:misc_RNA from 1 species